AACAAUGUUGGAAAGGAACCUCUAUCGUAACAUUGUCUCUGUUUUGCAGCGUUUUGGCGUUGGCAGCAUAAGUAUAUACAACCCAGACGAAGUGGUAUAGCUCCAUUCUUCCAUGUGGCAGUUGGUGGUAUGAUUGCGUUCUACCUAAUGAAUUACAAGAAACUACGUCAUCAUAAACAUUACAAAUAUCACUAAUUGUAUUAUUAGACAUCUCUAUUAUAGAUAUCUCGAUUUGAUCAGAAUACAAGGAAUUUAUGUAUCAAUUGUUCAGGAAAGAGAUAUUCAACUUAUUAGAGUGUGUUCAAAUAAACAUUCUUAGUAUGCACAAAAAAAUAUAAAA